AGACAUGUAGCUCAUUUGGUAGAGAACAUGUCUAGCAUGCAUGAAGUCCUGGGUUCAAGUCACAGUACUCUA
rnacentral:tRNA from 1 species